UCCCAUAUGCAGAGGGAUUUUUCGUUAGUGAAGACUCGCUUGACGCUUUCGUCAAUGCUCGGGAAAAGACAAUUCCUGGAGUUGGAUGGAAGGGGCCUUCCUUUCGGAGUGGAUAUUGCGGCUCUGCCUUUUGGACUAGCGGACUUGGUUGCUGGCUUACCGCAAUUAUGAAAGGAGGAAAAAAGAAGGCAAGGAGGCCUGCACACCGUAAAAAAAGUGGAAGAGAAAAGGAAAGACCAAGCAACCCGGCUCUGGAUGAACAGAAGACCCGUCGGAAUUCAAGUUAAAAUCGGAAUUGAAAAAUUCGAAACAAAUCGCUUUAAAAAAUAGCGAAAUUAUUUGAAUUCGAAUUAGGGAUCACACGGCAUAUCAUCAUACUACUGCGAAAAAAAAAAAAAAACAAAAAGAACACGCCAAAAAACUUAGAUAGAAAAUUCCGAAGGGAAAUAUUAAGUAAUAAUCGGAAAUUAUUUAGGUUGGUUGGAUUUUAAAUUUAGGAACCGGACCAAAAAUGUAAGAACAAUUCGGGGAGAAAAUCGCCAAAAAUGCCAAAUAAUAGCUUGAGCAACUUUUACAAAUUUGAGUUAAUAAAUAAAUAAUUAGUUGGACAAUUUUUU